GUCUCUGUGGCGCAACAGGUUAGCGCGUUCGGCUGUUAACUGAAAGGUUGUUGGUUCAACGAAUUAGACAUU
rnacentral:tRNA from 1 species